rnacentral:rRNA from 1 species
CCUGAUCCAGCCAUGCCGCGUGUGUGAAGAAGGCCCUCGGGUUGUAAAGCACUUUCAGCGAGGAAGAACGCCUAGCGGUUAAUACCCGCUAGGAAAGACAUCACUCGCAGAAGAAGCACCGGCUAACUCCGUGCCAGCAGCCGCGGUAAUACGGAGGGUGCAAGCGUUAAUCGGAAUUACUGGGCGUAAAGCGCGCGUAGGUGGCUUGAUAAGCCGGUUGUGAAAGCCCCGGGCUCAACCUGGGAACGGCAUCCGGAACUGUCAAGCUAGAGUGCAGGAGAGGAAGGUAGAAUUCCCGGUGUAGCGGUGAAAUGCGUAGAGAUCGGGAGGAAUACCAGUGGCGAAGGCGGCCUUCUGGACUGACACUGACACUGAGGUGCGAAAGCGUGGGUAGCAAACAGGAUUAGAUACCCUGGUAGUCCACGCCGUAAACGAUGUCGACCAGCCGUUGGGUGCCUAGCGCACUUUGUGGCGAAGUUAACGCGAUAAGUCGACCGCCUGGGGAGUACGGCCGCAAGGUUAAAACUCAAAUGAAUUGACGGGGGCCCGCACAAGCGGUGGAGCAUGUGGUUUAAUUCGAUGCAACGCGAAUAACCUUACCUACUCUUGACAUCCUGCGAAUUCGGUAGAGAUACCUUA